rnacentral:rRNA from 1 species
AUGAGGAGAGAAUCCUAAGGCCAACGGGAGAAGGGUUGUUAAGGAACUCGGCAAAUUGACCCCGUAACUUCGGAAGAAGGGGAGCCCCCUACGGGGGGUCGCAGAGAAAUGGCCCAAGCAACUGUUUACCAAAAACACAGGUCUAUGCUAAAUCGAAAGAUGACGUAUAUGGGCUGACGCCUGCCCGGUGCCGGAAGGUUAAGAGGAGAUGUCAGCGCAAGCGAAGCAUUGAAUUGAAGCCCCGGUAAACGGCGGCCGUAACUAUAACGGUCCUAAGGUAGCGAAAUUCCUUGUCAGGUAAGUUCUGACCCGCACGAAUGGCGUAAUGAUUUGGGCACUGUCUCAACAGCCCGCCCGGCGAAAUUGUAGUACUGGUGAAGAUGCCAGUUACCCGCAACUAGACGGAAAGACCCCAUGGAGCUUUACUGCAGCUUAAUACUGAAAUUCGGUAGUACAUGUACAGGAUAGGUGGGAGACUGAGAAAUACAGGCGUCAGCUUGUAUGGAGUCGCUGUUGGGAUACCACUCUUGUACUGCUGGGUUUCUAACCUGCGGCCGUGAAUCCGGUCGGGGGACACUGUUAGGCGGGCAGUUUGACUGGGGCGGUCGCCUCCAAAAGAGUAACGGAGGCGCUCAAAGGUUGGCUCAGCACGGACGGAAAUCGUGCAAUGAGUGUAAACGUAUAAGCCAGCCUAACUGCGAGACCGACGGGUCGAGCAGUAACGAAAGUUGGAGUUAGUGAUCCGGUGGUAUGUGAGUGGAAAUGCCAUCGCUCAACGGAUAAAAGCUACCCUGGGGAUAACAGGCUGAUCUCCCCCAAGCGUCCACAGCGACGGGGAGGUUUGGCACCUCGAUGUCGGCUCGUCGCAUCCUGGGGCUGAAUUCGGUCCCAAGGGUUUGGCUGUUCGCCAAUUAAAGCGGCACGCGAGCUGGGUUCAGAACGUCGUGAGACAGUUCGGUCCCUAUCUGUUGCGGGCGUAAGAGAUUUGAAGGGAGCUGUCCUUAGUACGAGAGGACCGGGAUGGACGUACCUCUGGUGCACCAGUUGUCCUGCCAAGGGCAUAGCUGGGUAGCUAUGUACGGACGAGAUAAACGCUGAAAGCAUCUAAGCGUGAAACUCCCCCUAAGAUGAGAUCUCUCAUCCUUCAAGGAGUAAGGACCCAGAAAGACGAUCUGGUUGAUAGGCCGAAGGUGGAAGCGCAGUAAUGUGUGCAGCUGAUCGGUACUAAUAGUCCGAGGGCUUGACCU